UACGUAGGGGGCAAGCGUUGUCCGGAUUUAUUGGGCGUAAAGAGCGUGUAGGCGGCCAGGGAGGUCCGUUGUGAAAACUCGAGGCUCAACCUCGAGACGCCGAUGGAAACCCCCUGGCUAGAGUCCGGAAGAGGAGAAUGGAAUUCCUGGUGUAGCGGUGAAAUGCGCAGAUAUCAGGAGGAACACCGGUGGCGAAGGCGGGUCUCUGGGCCGAUAUUGACGCUGAGGAGCGAAAGCGUGGGGAGCAAACAGG
rnacentral:rRNA from 1 species